UGCAGCAACGCCGCGUGAGGGAUGACGGCCUUCGGGUUGUAAACCUCUUUUAGUAGGGAAGAAGCGAAAGUGACGGUACCUGCAGAAAAAGCACCGGCUAACUACGUGCCAGCAGCCGCGGUAAUACGUAGGGUGCAAGCGUUGUCCGGAAUUAUUGGGCGUAAAGAGCUCGUAGGCGGUUUGUCGCGUCUGCUGUGAAAUCCCGAGGCUCAACCUCGGGCUUGCAGUGGGUACGGGCAGACUAGAGUGCGGUAGGGGAGAUUGGAAUUCCUGGUGUAGCGGUGGAAUGCGCAGAUAUCAGGAGGAACACCGAUGGCGAAGGCAGAUCUCUGGGCCGUAACUGACGCUGAGGAGCGAAAGCAUGGGGAGCGAACAGGAUUAGAUACCCUGGUAGUCCAUGCCGUAAACGUUGGGCGCUAGAUGUAGGGACCUUUCCACGGUUUCUGUGUCGUAGCUAACGCAUUAAGCGCCCCGCCUGGGGAGUACGGCCGCAAGGCUAAAACUCAAAGGAAUUGACGGGGGCCCGCACAAGCGGCGGAGCAUGCGGAUUAAUUCGAUGCAACGCGAAGAACCUUACCAAGGCUUGACAUACACCGGAACGGCCAGAGAUGGUCGCCCCCUUGUG
rnacentral:rRNA from 1 species